CUUGCUGGUGACCUGUCUCUGUUUCUCAACAUCGGGAUACCAGAGAAAAAAAAAAGUGGAACAGGGCUGUCAAAGUGUGUUGUGCAUGUGUGGAGCUGCUCCCUGUGAUGAUGUAUGUGUUUGAAGGCUGCUUUUGAGAUUGCAUGUGUAUAGGUCAGACUAUUUGUGUUAUUUUGUGUGUGUAAAGGGGUCUGUUUGUUGCGUACUAUGUGUGGUCACUAGCCACACAUAGUGUGUGUGUGUAUAUGUGUGUGUCAGGGGUGCUAUGUGUGUAGUGUGUUUGUGUGAGUGUGGGUGGUGUAGUGUCUUAGUGCAAGGGCUGUAGUGUGUAUAUAAGGCUAUAGAGCAGUGGUUCCCAAACAGGGGUUGACGUAGUAAAGGAGUUUAAGCAUGCGUGGGAUAGGCAUAAGGCUAUCCUAACUAUAAGAUAAGGCCAGGGACUAAUGAAAGUAUUUAGAAAAUUGGGCAGACUAGAUGGGCCGAAUGGUUCUUAUCUGCCGUCACAUUCUAUGUUUCUAUGACGUGCAAACAGGGGUGCCGCGGAAUGUUUCCCCGGUGCUAUGAUUAGCACUUUAAGACCGCGACCAGAUCCCUGUAAUGUCGGCCGGGAGGAUGUGACAGCCUGUCCCUUCCGCCCAGCAUCCUGCAGGGAGACAGCGCGGGAGGAGGCAGCCGCAAAGUGAGGGGAGAGAAACAUGAAGAGCUCCAGAGUCCAGACCUCUCACUCCCACAGCAGCCAGCAGGACUCCAAGCCACCCUCCUGGCACAUAAGGUAAGCAAACACACCCCUGUAUUAAAAAACACAAUAACUAUAUACAAGCACC